rnacentral:misc_RNA from 1 species
GAUGAAGAACGUAGCGAAAUGCGAUAAGUAAUGUGAAUUGCAGAAUUCAGUGAAUCAUCGAAUCUUUGAACGCACAUUGCGCCCGCCAGUAUUCUGGCGGGCAUGCCUGUCCGAGCGUCAUUUCAACCCUCGGGACCCUUCGGGGAACCGGUGUUGGGGACCCGUCCGCCGACCCACGGCGGCCGGCCCCGAAAUACAGUGGCGGCCCUGCGGCGACCUCCUCUGCGUAGUAGCGAUACCUCGCAGCUGGAAAGCGGCAGCGGCCACGCUGUAAAACCCCCACUUCUAUGGUUGACCUCGGAUCAGGUAGGAAUACCCGCUGAACUUAAGCAUAUCAAUAAGCGGAGGA